CGUUCGAUUCUUGAGGGGAUUUGACUCUAGUACGAGAGGACCGAGUUGAACCGACCUCUGGUGUACCUGCUGUCCUGCCAAGGGCACCGCAGGGUAGCUAAGUCGGGCACGGAUAAAUUCUGAAAGCAUCUAAGAAUGAAGCCAACCCCAAGAUUAGGAAUCGUUUGAGAGCCCUAGGAGAUGACUAGGUUGAUAGGCGCUAGGUGUAAGCAUCGUAAGGUGUUGAGCCGAGGCGUACUAAUUGCUCGA
rfam:Candidatus Wildermuthbacteria bacterium RIFCSPHIGHO2_01_FTLL_48_27b rifcsphigho2_01_scaffold_91176, whole genome shotgun sequence.